AUGCUGCACAACCACCAGAAGUUGUCCCGGGAUCCCAAUGUUACCAGCCAGCCAAUCCUUUUUCACAUUUCACGUCCUGUCCAACCCUCAUCCUCACCGAGUGCUUCCUCUUCACAUAUCUCUGGCCAGCUACAAAAAGCAGUUCCUGAAAGGACAGGGCCUUUUUCCCCAUUGGUUCCCUACUGGUUCUUUGUGGCCAUGCUGGCCCCUAUGGCGUUGGCUCUGGAACAGUCCCCAGACACAGUGAUACGACAAGGCCAGUCCAUGAAUCUGAGCUGUUCCAAGAAGAAAUCCUCCAGCACAGCUAUGUACUGGUACAAACUGCCUUUGGGGAAGGACUCCGGGCUGAGGCUAGUGUCUUAUGCAAUACAAGGUGGUGAAGUAACCAUUGAGGAGGAUCUCCGAAACCAUAUUAAGAGCAGUGAGAUACAAGGCGACGGGAUGACCCUCUUCAUAGAGCAUGCCUUUCUCAAUGACUCUGGCAUGUACUAUUGUGCUGAGAGUGAAACACAGUGGCUAGGCUGCUGA